GAUGAACGCUAGCGGGAGGCCUAACACAUGCAAGCCGAGCGGUAUUGUUUCUUCGGAAAUGAGAGAGCGGCGUACGGGUGCGGAACACGUGUGCAACCUGCCUUUAUCUAGAGGAUAGCCUUUCGAAAGGAAGAUUAAUACUCUAUAAUAUAUUAAUUGGCAUCAAUUGAUAUUGAAAACUCCGGUGGAUAGAGAUGGGCACGCGCAAGAUUAGCUAGUUGGUGAGGUAACGGCUCACCAAGGCAAUGAUCUUUAGGGGGCCUGAGAGGGUGAUCCCCCACACUGGUACUGAGACACGGACCAGACUCCUACGGGAGGCAGCAGUGAGGAAUAUUGGUCAAUGGGUGCAAGCCUGAACCAGCCAUCCCGCGUGAAGGAUUAAGGUCCUAUGGAUUGUAAACUUCUUUUGUAUAAGGAUAAACCUACCCUCGUGAGGGUAGCUGAAGGUACUAUACGAAUAAGCACCGGCUAACUCCGUGCCAGCAGCCGCAGUAACAC
rnacentral:rRNA from 1 species